UCCGAUAUGGUGUAGUGGUUAGCAUUGGUCGCUUUCACCGACUAGACCCGGGUUCAAUUCCCGGUAUCGGAA
rnacentral:tRNA from 1 species